AGAGUUUGAUCCUGGCUCAGGAUGAACGCUAGCGGCAGGCUUAACACAUGCAAGUCGAGGGGCAGCAUGGUGUAGCAAUACACUGAUGGCGACCGGCAAACGGGUGCGGAACACGUACGCAAUCUACCUCUUUCAGGGGCAUAGCCCGAAGAAAUUCGGAUUAACUCCCCAUAAGAUAAUGGUGUGGCAUCACACAGUUAUUAAAGCUCCGGUGGAAAGAGAUGAGCGUGCGUCCCAUUAGCUAGUUGGUAGGGUAACGGCCUACCAAGGCGACGAUGGGUAGCUGGUGUGAGAGCACGACCAGCCACACGGGCACUGAGACACGGGCCCGACUCCUACGGGAGGCAGCAGUGAGGAAUAUUGGUCAAUGGACGCAAGUCUGAACCAGCCAUGCCGCGUGAAGGAUGAAGGCGUUCUGCGUUGUAAACUUCUUUUAUCUGGGAAGAAACCUCCUUUUUCUAAGGGAGCCGACGGUACCAGAGGAAUAAGCACCGGCUAACUCCGUGCCAGCAGCCGCGGUAAUACGGAGGGUGCAAGCGUUAUCCGGAUUCACUGGGUUUAAAGGGUGUGUAGGCGGAUAUUUAAGUCCGAGGUGAAAUCUCUGAGCUCAACUCAGAAACUGCCUUGGAUACUAUUUAUCUUGAAUAUCGUUGAGGUAGGCGGAAUAUGUCAUGUAGCGGUGAAAUGCUUAGAUAUGACAUAGAACACCGAUUGCGAAGGCAGCUUGCUAAACGAUUAUUGACGCUGAGGCACGAAAGCGUGGGGAUCAAACAGGAUUAGAUACCCUAGUAGUCC
rnacentral:rRNA from 1 species